AUUGAACGCUGGCGGCAGGCCUAACACAUGCAAGUCGAGCGGAUGAAGGGAGCUUGCUCCUGGAUUCAGCGGCGGACGGGUGAGUAAUGCCUAGGAAUCUGCCUGGUAGUGGGGGAUAACGUCCGGAAACGGGCGCUAAUACCGCAUACGUCCUGAGGGAGAAAGUGGGGGAUCUUCGGACCUCACGCUAUCAGAUGAGCCUAGGUCGGAUUAGCUAGUUGGUGGGGUAAAGGCCUACCAAGGCGACGAUCCGUAACUGGUCUGAGAGGAUGAUCAGUUAGACGGGAACUGAGAAACAGUACCGACUCCUACGGGAGGCAGCAGUGCGGAAUAUUGGGCAAUGGGCGAGAGCCUGAUCCAGCCAAGCCGCGUGUGUGAAGAAGGUCUUCGGAUUGGAAAGCGCUUUAGGUUGGGAGGAAGUGCAGUACUUUAAUCCCUGGCUGUUUUGACGUUACCAACAGAAUAAGCACCGGCUAACUUCGUG
rnacentral:rRNA from 1 species